UUACUACUCUCUCCGUCCUGAAUUACUUGUCUUAGAUUUGGUCUAGAUACGAAUGUAUCUAGACACGUUUUAGUGUUAGAUACAUCUGUAUCUAGACAAAUCUAAGACAAGUAAAUUGGGACAGAGGUGAUAUUAU
rfam:Triticum aestivum genome assembly, contig: Triticum_aestivum_CS42_TGACv1_scaffold_405633_5BL